rnacentral:misc_RNA from 1 species
GAUGAAGAACGCAGCGAAAUGCGAUACGUAAUGUGAAUUGCAGAAUUCAGUGAAUCAUCGAAUCUUUGAACGCAUAUUGCGCUCUCUGGUAUUCCGGAGAGCAUGCUUGUUUGAGUAUCAGUAAACACCUCAACUUCCAUAUCUUUUUUGAAAUGGGAGUUGGACUUGAGUGAUCCCAACGCUUUUCCUCACCGAAAAGUGGCGGGUUACUUGAAAUGCAGGUGCAGCUGGACUUUUCUCUGAGCUAUAAGCAUAUCUAUUUAGUCUGCCUAAAAAACAGAUUAUUACCUUUGCUGCAGCUAACAUAAAGGAGAUUAGUUCUUGUGCUGACUGAUGCAGGAUUCACAAAGACAGGCUUCGGCCGACUUUGUAAACUCGAUCUCAAAUCAAGUAAGACUACCCGCUGAACUUCAGCAUAUCAAUAAGCGGAGGA